CGAAGAGUUAAAAGUGAGAAAUUAUAAAAUUCCCAAUUCAAAUUUGGGUAAUAGUUCAAUCACCAUGGAAGGUUUGAAUUAUUGACGGGGCCAGCGGCAUCAAUUGGGUCUACAAGUAGGAACCCCCAAUGUGGUUUGAGGGACAAGGAGCAUAUGGUAUUAAGUUCAGAGGGAGAGUUGCGAAGAAUGUCAUUUCACCUUCAAGAUGGUAAGCGUAUGCUGACCAAGCAACAAAAUCGAGAUCAAGAUAAAGUAUCUGCAGAUUCUGCCCAUUCAGUAGAUAAUUACAAUAAGAUCCUCCAAAGUAAUAUACGGCCUCUUGGUGAUGAUCAGUCAAAUGUUUCAUCUAACUUUCCUCAGUUUCUUGCUAAACAAUUUUUGAAGGGAAAGGGGGUUCAAUCAAAUAGCAACAAAACAGAAGUUAGUAUUGCAGAUAUAAGUCAGAAUGAGGAUCAACAGUCUUCCAUAGGUAAGGUAGCAUUUGAUGCACCAUUGAGAUCAAGUGCCGAAUUAGAGAAAUGCUCUGAUAUAAGAGAUCUUGAAUCAUAUCUUGAUGGGGUUACUUCCACUAGUAACUGAAUUAGAUCCACCCCCAUAUACAACGUUGUCAUCACCACCACCAAUAACAUGAAUAAUAUAACUUUGUCAUCUACUCGGCCAAGGCAACAUGAAUAAUAUAACUUUGUACUGUACAUGAGUGACAGAUGUUAAGAUCUAGGACUAUUAAUAUUACCAAGGUCCUAUAUGCUAGCACAGAUCAAUUACUUGGCAAAUUUUUUACAAAGGCAUACAUUUUAGUUCCUGAUAAAAAUAAAAUAGGAAAUACCUAAUCAGACAAUUGAUCCAGGAAGAGCAGUAUACCAGUUCCUCUGCAUCAUUUAAUCCAGAUAAGGAAAUAAUAGCAUUAAGAAACCAUAUAGACGAUAACCAUAAGAUUCCUACUCAAAGAGCUAAAUUGCCAUUCUGAUUUUAACUGAUCAAAAUAAACAAAACUGGUUCAUACUUUUUCAUAAAUACUACCUCAAGAAGAGGAUAACUAUUGUAGGUUUGUUGAGACUGUUAGAACUUAGAAGUAAUCAUAUAAGUAAGGUGUUAAAAGUAACUCUGAGCAACUAAUAUUUUCCUUUUCAAUAUUAAGUUUCCCCGCUCAGAUUUUCUAUUCCUUCCUAUCCAAAAAAAAUCAAAAUUAAAAUUGUUAUCAUAAUUGUACACUAGACAUUAUAUCAGAACAUAAUCAAGAAUUCAAGAUUGAUCUAAUACCAAAUACUUCUUAUUCCUUCACUUUCCAUCUAAUUCAUAAACACCAAACAAUAAAAUAAAAUGAGACAUGAUAUUCACACUACCAACAUACAUAGUAUAACAUUAACAACCAUUAACAAACAAAAACUCAGAUAAAAAACUAACAUUUACUUUUUAGAUUGACCUCUUAUAAUCCUUGAUCUGAUUUUUAGAAAUAGUUUUAAAAAAAUCACAUAGCUCAUACCAUACCUAAUAUGUGUUAGUUAAAUCGAAUCUUUUUUCAAACAGAAUUGCUGAAAAUUACUUUAACAUUUUCAACACACAAAUCUUGUUUCAAAUAGAGUUGCUGAAAAUUACUAAAAAUUAAGCUGCUCACAUAUUCUUAAUUCAGCACAACCCAGUAUACAACAAUUCAUUCAAUUAAUCAAACAUUUGAACCACAUAAAUUAACAACAAAAGGAACGAAUCGAAACCCACAAGCUCUAAAUUAAAGAGGUAAAGAAAAAGAAAAAUCACAUGCCAAAGAUUUAAACAUAACAUAAUACACACAUAAAUUGGUCUAGGGUUUGGUACCUAACAACAAUCAAAAGAGUAGCAGCAAUUGAAGGAGUAUAAUGAGUAGCAGGAGUAACAGUCGCGGAGCGAAGGAGGGAGAAACUAAGAAAUUGACGGAUCAAGCGCAGAGAGAGGCGGAGCAGAUCGGAUGAGCAGUUGGGAAGAAAGGUUUACGUUAGAAGAGAAAGGCUUUUUAGGUUAGAGGGUAGAGACGUAAUUUACCAAGACAGAGG
rnacentral:lncRNA from 1 species